rnacentral:lncRNA from 1 species
GUGAAUAACUAUAAAAAAUAAGUCAAUAUAUUAAUAUUAAUAAAUUAUUUAAUUAAUUAUAAUUUUAGUUAAUAUAUUAAUUUGAUAAAUUAAAAUAUUAAUUAUGCAAAUAAUAAAAUAUUAGUUAAUGAUUGAAUAAGCGUAUCAAUCGUUAAUUAUUUAAUUAGCUAAUUAAUUAUAAAUAAUAAAUUACUUACUAAUUAAAUACUUAUUAAUUUUAUUAAGUCAAAUAAUUCAUUAGUUAAUUAUUAAAAAGUUUAUUGCAUUAAUUAAUAAUAUUUUAUAUUAUUUAUAACUUAAUCAGUAGAGGGAUAAGAUAGAGAAUGGGUUAUUCCACCUAAAGGUGGAACUACUAUUCUCCCCUCUUAACGGGUUAUUCCAGAAUAACCCUUUAAGAGAAGAAUAGUAAAUCUUAGUGGCGUUUGGAAGAAUAAUAGGAAUAGAUCUCUUAUUCCCUCCUUAUCCCUUCAACCAAACAUAGCCUUAGUGUAUCUGUCAUGUAUCUAUCGAGUAUCCAAUAAUUUUCUGAAUUUUCAGAAAUGUCGGAUACUUAAAGUAUCUGACACGUAUCGGAUGUGUAUUGCGCAAGUCUCGAUAUACGAUACAUAUUUGAUACGAUACAACAAGCGAAAUGAAUUAUAACAGGAUGCUUUUCAUUGAUUCCGAUCAUAUUGCCUUUCCUAAUUGACUUACAAAUCAAAUUGCCCAUAUUUUGUUUUCCAAAUUUUCUACUCUCCUCUACGUUGAAUUUUGAGUAGGAAAGUUUUGCUAGGAUGGUAAUUUUAUCCAAGUUUCCUUUUGCUAUUUUUGGUAAACUUGGUAUUUCUAAAGCUCGAAUUUUCUUAACGUUGCCGAUAGUUAGAUAUGCUCAAUUAUCAUGCCAAAUACUGUUGGUUUAGAAGUUCAAGAUUUAGCCUUAGAAUUUAGUACGUGAUUGUCCUAACUAUUGGAAAAUCUUCUCUAUUAGAGAAGCAAAACUGUGUCUUUGGCAGCCAAAAAUUCUGGAACUUCGCGAAUGUUUGGAAAGCUGAAACAAUUCUCUGGAUGUCAGAAGUGUAAGCUUCAAUUUUCAAGCUUGUGCUUUUAAACUUCAGCCAUAAAUGAUGGAGAAUUUUAAGGAAUAAAUUGUUAGGUUUUUUUCCCAACAUAAACAAACCACAUAACCUUUAACCUUUGUGAGAGUGAAAACUGGUUUUUUUUUUUUUUUUUCUNNNNNNNNNNNNNNNNNNNNNNNNNAAAAAAUAUAAUACUAUUCUCUAAUAAGUUUUUCAAAAAAAAUAUCAAAUUUAUUUUUAAAAACUUUUAUUGAUGUGGGUUAGGGAUAGGGUUUUGAGAGAGGAUAGAUUAUUUUUUUUUUAUUUUUUUUUUUUAUGAGAAAGGGAUGAAGAGAAGGAGGGUGAGAUGGUCACAUGGGCUUCGAAAACUUAGUGAGCUUCCGGAAUGAAAUCUCAAUCCGGGCUAGAAGACCGGAAUCAAGUUGAAAGCUAAUGGGCCAUUUCCAUUCCGGUCCGGAAUAGGAAUUUCAAACCGAUUCAUAUGAACCAAACAAAAUUAACCGGAUUUGAUCAAACCGAUUCUCAUUCCAUACCCAAAAUGGAUGAACCAAACAAGCCCUAAAGGUGAUGAGAUCGAUUGCGAUUGAUGGG